GGGGACCGCCUUGGCAAAAAUCAGGAGCACUCAAGUGCAGAUUGAGCACUCCCAUACAUGCAGCAGCCGCCCAUGAAGUCACUGGAUAACAAUUUCCUAUCGACAUGGAAAAACCCCAGCUCUCCAGACAGAAGCGUCACAUAGCGUGAGUAACAGAAUUGGGAUUCUGUGCUAUGUCGAUCGGCGUCCACUCGUCUCUACUGUCUUCAGGACACCCCUCACACCAUUGGGUUCAUCUUGCAUCCAAAUGAUGAGUCUCCUUAUCACUAGCAUAAAGUCUGCAAGGUAGCUCUGGGCCUUUUUAUCUUCUGCAAAAGCUAAGUUUGACUGCUGCUGCUCCCAUGAGAUUCUCAGUGGCAACUGGACCUACAGCAUUUGACUAAGGGAGAGAAAUUCCCGUUCUCCUUUGUCUCGGCUCUGAGUCUCAGGAGGCUGCAAUCCACAGGCGUAAAUUUGUCUGUAAGAUGGUCAAACACAGACAUGUGCUUGUGUUCUUGAAUUAAUAAACUCAUGCAUGACAUUGAAAGAAAUUUAGCAUUUUCUCCAUUGUUUCUAAAGCCAUUGUCUUAUAUAAAAAAAAAUCAAGUCGAUGCUCUAAUUUGAUCAUUAAUUUAUGUAAAAGCACUUUAGGGAACCUCUGACUAUGAAACACUCUUCCUGCGUCAGACCCUCAGGGUUGAGAUUAUAUGCUUGAACCAGAAUUUUGGGCAAAACCAUUAAAAUAGUUCCUCAAAAUAUGUAAUUUUAUCUUCAACUAACUUGAUAUAUUUCCUAAUUUAAAUCGGAUCUUGGGAUAAAUGGGUCUUUUGAUCUACUUAGAAAGAGAAAAUAAUUUUCUGAUUAGUUAUUUUGAUAAAGCUGUUCUCAAAAUAACCUUAAACAAAAUUUUUACUUUAAAAUACACUCUAGAGAUCAUCCAAUUUAAAAAGAAAGAAAAAAAAACCUCAGAGCUUGGCAUAUGUUUAGAAACACUAAUUGUAGACUUGGGUUUCUCACUGUUCCUUGAGAAGCAAUAGAACGGUCUUUUCUCUGAGAAACUGAAAUAAUGAUGCUAACAGCCCACAGUCGCAGUAAGAAACUGGAAUCAGAAAAAAGUGAGAAGGAAUUCCAGGGUGAGCGCCAACAUACCAAGAUAAAAUGCAAAGAGUGAUUGAUCGAGGCUCCUCACCUUCCACAGAUGAGUUUUUCAGUUCUGCAUGGAAACAGCUGGCGAGGGAAUCCCGCUUACAGAAAGCUAGAGUUUGCCACGUGUAAAGGUUGGUGAGAGGAGAAAUUACAUAACCUUAAUGGCAGUUCUUUUUGAAUGUUUACUCUUAAGUCUCAUUCCUAAGCAACUAACACUGGGGACACUGCUGUCUGUUGCUAAAACGAAGAGGGUUCCAGUAAACGACGGUAAAAUCUCAGACCAUUAAUGUUCAUGGAGAUGAUGCUCCUGGGAAUUCAGAUACAGACUUGACCUUCUAAGUAGCAACAGUUAAAGUCUUUGCAGGUGUGUGGCAACAACUGAAGGCCGUUUUCAUGUCACUGCUACAGAGAAGUCCACCUGUAGAGCCACUGACUUACUGAAAAUAGCCCCAACCCAUUAUGAGCCUAAUAAGUUUCAUCUCUUAUAGCCUAUAUUCAUCUUCUUGAAAAUUAGUGUGGAGAGGGUCGAAAAGAUUGUGAUUUUAAAGGGUAUUUUAAAGGGUUCUUUUGGUGGAAUGGUCAGGCCAAUGGCAAGGGCAAAAGAGAGGAACCUCGAUGAUGUUCAUUUCUCAGCCGAGCUCUGGUUUCAACAAGUUGAAGUCACAUGUUACGGGAAUGAAGAGUAAGAUAGAGUGAACUUUACUUGUCAGUAUUAAUCCUGAGAAAUAUCCUGAGUAAUGUUCAGACUAAUAAUAGUUCAUCCUGUUGUCAUGAGUUUUGCAAUGAGGAAGAGGUUGGGCCCAACUUGAAAACCAAGUUACCAUGGUGAUCUGCAUCCAGUGGACAGGCACGGGAGGAAGAUACCAGAGGGUUGAAAGUAUCUGGAUGGAACCAGAGUAAGAACAAAUGGGGUAGCUUACUAAACCAGUACAACAGAUUUCUUGCUGACAGCAAUCCAAAGUCACCCAAUGUGGAAUCCCAUCAGAUAUGCGUGCUGACCGCAUAUUAAGGGUGGAAAAAUCCUUGGUAAAAUUGGGCAUAUAAAGAUGAAGCCUCAGAAGCCAAGGUUUUGUUGAGAAAGACAUAUAGAUGAGAGUUUGAUCAAAGAGAUCAUGUAUCGGGGCUGGAGAGAUGGCUCAGUGGUUAAGAGCACCGACUGCUCUUCCAGAGGUCCUGAGUUCAAAUCCCAGCAACCACAUGGUGGCUCACAACCAUCUGUAAUGGGAUCGGAUGCCCUCUUCUGGUGUGUCUGAAGACAGCGACAGUGUACUCACAUAUAUAAAAUAAAUAAAAAUAAAUCUUUAAAAAAAACUAUCUUUAAAAAAAAGAGAUCAUGUAUCAACAUCCCUCAAAAGUGUAUAAUUAUAUAUUUACUACAUUCAUAAAGCAGAAGUCAUUCAUCUUAUAGACAACAUGUAAGAUUUUUAUAUUCAUACAUCAUUAUUUUAUAUCAUAAAAUAAUAUAUUUCAGUGCCCCAAAUUCUAGAUUUUUCUUGGGGUAGAGGGUAGGACCUAUCUUCAUAUUCCACCUAAAUGAGCAAUGAACAAGACGAUUUCAGUCCUAGAUCAGGCAGGAAAAUCUAGGCAAGUCGUUUCUUUUAUCUACAACUGUCUUUCCCGGAGUUUGCUAUGGUCCUCAUAGUCACAAAGUUUGCCACACUCUAUCCUUGGGGUCACCUUUCUCAUGUGUUUUGCUGGAGUACAUUAAAGCCAUCAUCUGCCUCCUGACUGAUCAGGGGCUACGUAAUCCUCAUGGUAUGAUGACUAACCUCCAGGCAGGCUCCAACUUACACAUGAGCUUAUUAUAACAAAAGUCAUUAAAAGCAGGGUUGGUGCUUUAAGACGUAAUAUGCUUGUCCAACUCAUAAACAAGGGUAACUUCUCAGGCUCUGGCUGCAGCUUAUCUGCAAUUGUCUUCAGCCUUUUCGUCCAAGGAAAGAAAGUGACAUAAAACUUGGGCUCAUACUUGCACAUACUUUCCAGUGCAGGGGAGGACUCCAUAUAAGGCUGACUUGAAAUUAGGCACUUUUAUUACUAAGAGGAAUAACAGAAGAAGAAAUCGUCUACAUUAAAUUCAAAUCCAGUCAGCAAAAGUUAGAAUGGAAUGUUGAAACCUUUGCAAGCUUUUACUCCCUCUGUGCUGGCUUUGGGUUCUGCACAACUCUUUCUCCCUCAGUUUAGGGACCUAUAGUUUAAUGUGAAUUGAAAGCUGCAUCACUAUUAACACUCUUUGACACAGAUGUAUCAAUAAUAAAUGGCACCUUUGUUGUCGGGAUAGGUGGGUGAUUGGAAUUUGUCUUAUUAUAUUUUAAAUUUAUUUUUUGAUUUGCAAUUAGCACUCAGACGUUUCUGUUUUCUGUGCUUCACUGGUUUUUAGACUGUAAGCCGCAGGCAUAAAUACCUUUUAGGUUUCAUCUCUCCUUUCCCUUAGAAGUGCUUCUUUUAGCUUAGUUGUACGUA